rnacentral:rRNA from 1 species
UGGGGAAUCUUGCGCAAUGGGCGAAAGCCUGACGCAGCGACGCCGCGUGCGGGAAGAAGGCCUUCGGGUUGUAAACCGCUUUCAGGAGGGACGAAGCCACUCGGGUGAAUAGCCCAGAGGGUGACGGUACCUCCAGAAGAAGCCCCGGCUAACUACGUGCCAGCAGCCGCGGUAAUACGUAGGGGGCGAGCGUUGUCCGGAUUUAUUGGGCGUAAAGCGCGUGUAGGCGGCCAGAUAGGUCUGCUGUGAAAACUCGAGGCUCAACCUCGAGCUGUCGGCGGAAACCAUUUGGCUAGAGUCCGGAAGAGGAGAGUGGAAUUCCCGGUGUAGCGGUGAAAUGCGCAGAUAUCGGGAAGAACACCUGUGGCGAAGGCGGCUCUCUGGGACGGUACUGACGCUGAGACGCGAAAGCGUGGGGAGCAAACA